rnacentral:rRNA from 1 species
CACGUAGGGCGCAAGCGUUUGUCCGGAAUUAUUGGGCGUAAAGAGCUCGUAGGCGGUCUGUUGCGUCCGCUGUGAAAACUCGGGGCUUAACCCCGAGCCUGCAGUGGAUACGGGCAGACUAGAGGUAGGUAGGGGAGAAUGGAAUUCCCGGUGUAGCGGUGAAAUGCGCAGAUAUCGGGAGGAACACCCGUGGCGAAGGCGGCUCUCUGGGACGGUACUGACGCUGAGACGCGAAAGCGUGGGGAGCGAACAGG